GCCGGGCGUGGUGGCAGGCGCCUGUAAUCCCAGCUACUCAGGAGGCUGAGGAAGGAGAAUUGCUUGAACCCAGGAGGCAGAGGUUGCAGUGAGCUGAGAUCGAGCCACUGCACUCCAGCCUGGGUGACAGAGCAAGAUUCUAUCUCAA
ensembl:misc_RNA Metazoa_SRP Metazoan signal recognition particle RNA